rnacentral:rRNA from 1 species
UACAGAGGGGGCAAGCGUUGUUCGGAAUCACUGGGCGUAAAGCGCGUGUAGGCGGCCAGACAAGUCGGGUGUGAAAGCCCACGGCUCAACCGUGGAAGGGCACUCGAAACUGCUUGGCUAGAGUCCUGGAGAGGAAGGUGGAAUACUCGGUGUAGAGGUGAAAUUCGUAGAUAUCGAGUGGAACACCGGUGGCGAAGGCGGCCUUCUGGACAGUGACUGACGCUGAGACGCGAAAGCGUGGGGAGCAAACAGG